rnacentral:rRNA from 1 species
UACAGAGGGGGCUAGCGUUAUUCGGAAUUAUUGGGCGUAAAGGGCGCGUAGGCGGCCACGCGUGUCUUUCGUGAAAUCCCUCGGCUUAACUGAGGACGUGCGGAAGAAACUGCGAGGCUUGAGUCCGGGAGAGGGGGGUGGAAUUCCCAGUGUAGCGGUGAAAUGCGUAGAUAUUGGGAGGAACAUCGAUGGCGAAGGCAAUCACCUGGGCCUGAACUGACACUGAGACACGAAAGCGUGGGUAGCAAACAGG